GACGAACGCUGGCGGCGUGCCUAAUACAUGCAAGUAGAACGCUGAAGGCGGAGCUUGCUUCUCUGGAUGAGUUGCGAACGGGUGAGUAACGCGUAGGUAACCUGCCUGUUAGCGGGGGAUAACUAUUGGAAACGUUAGCUAAUACCGCAUAAGAGUAGAUGUUGCAUGACAUUUGCUUAUAAGGUUCAAUUGCAUCACUACCAAAUGGACCUACGUUGUAUUAUCUAGUUGGUGGGGUAACGGCUUACCAAGGCGACGAUACAUAGCCGACCUGACAGGGUGAUCGGACAACCUGGGACGGAGACACGACCCAGAAUACUGCGAGAGGCAGCAGUAGGGAAUCUUCGGGAAUGGACGGAAGUCUGACCGAGCAACGACGCGUGAGUGAAGAAGGUAUUCAGAUCGUAAAGCUGUGGUGUAAGAGAAGAACGAAUGAGUGUGUGGAAAGUGCAGACUGUGACGGUAUCUUACCAGAAAGGGACGGCUAACUACGUG
rnacentral:rRNA from 1 species